AAACUCUGAUUUCUCUUCAGAUUGAAUAAAUCUUUUGCCUUUUACUAAAGAUUUCCAUGGAGAGGAACAACUAUGAGUUUUAAUCAUUUUUUUGAGGAUCUGCUACAUGCAGAGCU